AUGCUUUGUUUAGCUUUGCAUGUUAGCCGACUUUGUUAAUUCACCUAUCUUUAGAGACACAUUUAUAAUAGAAAAUUUAAUUUGAUGAUUAAAAAAUUGGUGAAAUACUUGUAGACUUUUGUAAUUGGAUUUUAUAGUUUCAUCUAAGAACUCACUGAAAAUAUUUUGAACUUCAUGAAGAGAUUUUUAAAUGGCUUUUGAAAGCCACUUAAAAGCCUUAUUUUCCCAAAUGAAUUAGUGUUUGGUGUGCGGAUGAGGAACUUUGCUAUUACCCUGUGAGCAUUACCCGACAAGAAAGAAUCAGAUGAGAGAUUGAAUCUGAAGCUUGUUCAGAUGAACUUUUGAGAAAGGGAGAAUGGUUUGAAAAUGGUUAUGAGGAGAAAGAACGAUGCUGACACCACCUCCAGGACCCAUGGAACAAGAUCUGUGACAGAAUCUUGCUCUGUCAUUCAGGCUGGAGUGUAGUGGUGUGAUUCUGGCUCACUGCAGCCUCAACUUCCCGGGCUCAAGUGAUUCUCACACCUCAGCUUCCAGAGCAGCCGGGACUACAGAAUUUUCCUCCCCCUCUCUUUAUGGUACCUCAACUGAUCAAAGUGAGCUGCAUUUGCUUUCUUUAUUGGAAUACAGCCCCCGCUUGAUACACAGACUAAGUGAAAGACAACAUGGUUUCCAGGGGAAGAA